rnacentral:rRNA from 1 species
AGCGUAGGUGGCCUAACAUGCCAACUGUGAAAACCCGGAGCUCAACUCCGGACUUGCAGUUGAAACUGGUAGGCUUGAGGACGGUAGAGGAAGACGGAACUGCCAGUGUAGGGGUAAAAUCCUUAGAUAUUGGCAGGAACGCCGGUGACGAAGGUGGUUUUCUGGGCCGGUUCUGACACUGAUGCUCGAAAGCCAGGGGAGCGAACG